rnacentral:rRNA from 1 species
UACGUAGGGUGCGAGCGUUGUCCGGAAUUACUGGGCGUAAAGGGCGCGUAGGCGGUCCGUUAAGCCCGCUGUGAAAGACCGAGGCUCAACCUCGGGGUGUCAGCGGGGACUGGGGGACUGGAGUUUGGAGAGGAGCGGGGAAUCCCUGGUGUAGCGGUGGAAUGCGUAGAGAUCAGGGGGAACACCGAUGGCGAAGGCACCGCUCUGGCCGAAUGACUGACGCUGGAGGCGCGAAAGCUAGGGGAGCGAACGGG